rnacentral:rRNA from 1 species
AACGAACGCUGGCGGCAGGCCUAACACAUGCAAGUCGAGCGGACCUUUCGGGGUCAGCGGCGGACGGGUGAGUAACGCGUGGGAAUAUGCCCUUCUCUACGGAAUAGUUCUGGGAAACUGGGGGUAAUACCGUAUACGCCCUUAGGGGGAAAGAUUUAUCGGGGAAGGAUUAGCCCGCGUUGGAUUAGGUAGUUGGUGGGGUAAUGGCCUACCAAGCCGACGAUCCAUAGCUGGUUUGAGAGGAUGAUCAGCCACACUGGGAGUGAGACACGGCCCAGACUCCUACGGGAGGCAGCAGUGGGGAAUCUUAGACAAUGGGGGCAACCCUGAUCUAGCCAUGCCGCGUGAGUGAUGAAGGCCUUAGGGUUGUAAAGCUCUUUCAGCUGGGAAGAUAAUGACGGUACCAGCAGAAGAAGCCCCGGCUAACUCCGUG